UUCCUACGGGAGGCAGCAGUGAGGAAUUUUUUGCAAUGGGAGAAAGCCUGACAGAGCAACGCCGCGUGAGGGAAGAAGGCCUUCGGGUUGUAAACCUCUUUUCUCAAGGAGGAAGAUCUGACGUUACUUGAGGAAUAAGCAUCGGCUAACCCUGUGCCAGCAGCCGCGGUAAUACAGGGGAUGCAAGUGUUAUCCGGAAUUAUUGGGCGUAAAGGGUCUGUAGGUUGAAAUUUAAGUCUUUUGUUAAAUAUCAGGGCUUAACCCUGACUGUGCCAAAGAAACUAGGUUUCUAGAGUAUGGUAGAGGUUAAGGGAAUUUCCAGUGGAGCGGUGAAAUGCGUAGAUAUUGGAAGGAACACCAAAAGCGAAGGCACUUAACUGGGCCAUUACUGACACUGACAGACGAAAGCUAGGGGAGCAACCGAGAUUAGAUACCUCGGUAGUCCUAGCCUUAAACGAUGGGUACUAGAUGUUGGGUUUAUUACUCAGUGUCGUAGCUAACGCGUUAAGUACCCCGCCUGGGAAGUAUGCUCGCAAGAGUGAAACUCAAAUGAAUUGACGGAA
rnacentral:rRNA from 1 species